rnacentral:rRNA from 1 species
UACGUAGGUGGCAAGCGUUGUCCGGAUUUACUGGGCGUAAAGAGCGCGCAGGCGGUCGUUCAAGUCGCGUGUGAAAGCCCCCGGCUCAACUGGGGAGGGUCACGCGAUACUGAUCGACUCGAAGGCAGGAGAGGGUAGUGGAAUUCCCGGUGUAGUGGUGAAAUGCGUAGAUAUCGGGAGGAACACCAGUGGCGAAGGCGCACAUCUGGCCCGAUACUGACGCUGAAGCGCGAAAGCUAGGGGAGCAAACGGG